rnacentral:lncRNA from 1 species
ACAAAUUCAGACUUUAUUUUUAUCACAUUGUACUUGAUCCUUUAAUAACUCUGUCGACAGAUUCUUGAUUGGCUGUCCCUGAAUAAGAUGCUCUGACUGAUUUCUGCUAAAAUACUGAGUAUAUUUUCUACAUGUUCACUGAUGUCUUUUCUCAUUGUCAUCAUCAAAGUUCAUGAACACAUUUUUGAAGUGAAAAACCCAAAUUAUUCUGUGCAUAUAAAUAAUAUUUUAACUGGCUGAUUGUAACAGUAUGAGGGGCCUUUUAUAAUUUCAUAUGACACGUGAAAAUUAAAAGUUCAACUUCAAUCUAAAAUAUUUAAUGAAAGCACACCAAAACAAACUCCGUAAUCUAAAAGAAAACUACAAAAAAAUUGCAUAGUAUAUUAAAAUUAAUUAUACUUUCAGCGGUUGAAGAGAAUGAAGUAUUGAUUAAAUAAAUUUAUUAAAAGUGCAAUGGGUAAACCCAAGUUCCAAGUCAAAUUUUCCAAAAUAACAUUAUUUUUCACAGCACAUAUUUACUCAUCUCAAAUAUUCUUCUUUCUGUAAAUAGUAUUACAAUCCAGCCAAUUGCUCUCACCCAAACUCCAGACAUCUUCUCUAAUUUCUCAUUUCCCCCUUUUCAGCAUAUAAUCCAAUAGCCUAUUUUAUUUGUCUUACUUCCAAAAUGUGCUUAUGAUCUUUCCUCUCCUUUCAAUUUUACUUCCUAUCAACAUUUUCCAAAUAAGCAUCUCAUCUCAACUACUGCAAUAGCAUCUGUGACAAAGACUGCUGGAACCACCACCUCCUCAGUUUGUAAGUGUUGCCUUACCACAUAUAUGCUAGUACUCAAGAUGUGUGGCAGAUGUUGGAAUCUCAACAUGAUGACGGUAAACUACUUGUUUGAGUCUUUUUUCAAAACCUUUCAUCAAAUCUUUCUUCUGAACUCUGCAAUUUGUCCAUGUUUCUUCGCCGAUGUUUCACUACUGUAUACAUUUAUGUGCCUGUGCGCGAUAAUGAAUGAUGCCCUAAGGUACCUGCUGUUUUAUCUGAGCUUUCAUUCUGGUGAAUAUAAUUAUGUGUUUUCACAUAUUUGUUAUUCCUUUUAAUUCUCUGUAUUUUCCCUUGAUUUAUUCUGAAUUUUUUUCCUGUUGGAAACAUUUACACUUAGGUUAACAAAUUUACUUAUGAAACUAUUGAUGAAUAAAUAAAUGUGUGAAGUGAAGUGGAUCCA